rnacentral:tRNA from 1 species
GGGGCUAUAGCUCAGUUGGGAGAGCGCCUGGAUCGCACCCAGGAGGUCGCGAGUUCGAGUCUCGCUAGCUCCA